CUCCCGUUGAUCCCGCCGGACCCGACUGCUAUCAGAGUGGGACUAAGCCAUGCGAGUCAACAUAGCAAUAUGUGGCAUACGGCUCAGUAACACGUAGUCAACAUGCCCAGGGGACGUGGAUAACCUCGGGAAACUGAGGAUAAACCGCGAUAAGUCACUACUUCUGGAAUGGGUAAUGACUCAAAUCUACAUGGCCCCUGGAUUGGACUGCGGCCGAUCAGGCUGUUGGUGAGGUAAUGGCCCACCAAACCUGUAACCGGUACGGGCUCUGAGAGGAGGAGCCCGGAGAUGGGCACUGAGACAAGGGCCCAGGCCCUAUGGGGCGCAGCAGGCGCGAAACCUCUGCAAUAGGCGAAAGCCUGACAGGGUUACUCUGAGUGAUUUCCGUUAAGGAGAUCUUUUGGCACCUCUAAAAAUGGUGCAGAAUAAGGGGUGGGCAAGUCUGGUGUCAGCCGCCGCGGUAAUACCAGCACCCCGAGUGGUCGGGACGUUUAUUGGGCCUAAAGCAUCCGUAGCCGGUUCUACAAGUCUUCCGUUAAAUCCACCUGCUUAACAGAUGGGCUGCGGAAGAUACUAUAGAGCUAGGAGGCGGGAGAGGCAAGCGGUACUCGAUGGGUAGGGGUAAAAUCCGUUGAUCCAUUGAAGACCACCAGUGGCGAAGGCGGCUUGCCAGAACGCGCUCGACGGUGAGGGAUGAAAGCUGGGGGAGCAAACCGGAUUAGAUACCCGGGUAGUCCCAGCUGUAAACGAUGCAGACUCGGUGAUGAGUUGGCUUAUUGCUAACUCAGUGCCGCAGGGAAGCCGUUAAGUUUGCCGCCUGGGGAGUACGGUCGCAAGACUGAAACUUAAAGGAAUUGGCGGGGGAGCA
rnacentral:rRNA from 1 species